rnacentral:rRNA from 1 species
UACGGAGGGUGCAAGCGUUAUCCGGAUUCACUGGGUUUAAAGGGUGCGUAGGUGGAUUAAUAAGUCAGUGGUGAAAGCCCCGAGCUCAACUUGGGAAUUGCCAUUGAUACUGUUAGUCUUGAGUUCGGUUGAGGUAGGCGGAAUAAGUCAUGUAGCGGUGAAAUGCUUAGAUAUGACUUAGAACACCAAUUGCGAAGGCAGCUUACCAAGCCGAUACUGACACUGAGGCACGAAAGCGUGGGGAUCAAACAGG